AGAGUUUGAUCCUGGCUCAGAGUGAACGCUGGCGGCAGGCCUAACACAUGCAAGUCGAGCGGCAGCGCGGGGGCAACCCUGGCGGCGAGCGGCGGACGGGUGAGGAAUUCGUCGGAAUCUGCCUUUUUGUGGGGGAUAACGUAGGGAAACUUACGCUAAUACCGCAUACGACCUACGGGUGAAAGUGGGGGACCUUCGGGCCUCACGCAGAAAGAUGAGCCGACGACCGAUUAGCUAGUUGGUGGGGUAAAGGCCCACCAAGGCGACGAUCGGUAGCUGGUCUGAGAGGAUGAUCAGCCACACUGGGACUGAGACACGGCCCAGACUCCUACGGGAGGCAGCAGUGGGGAAUAUUGGACAAUGGGGGCAACCCUGAUCCAGCCAUGCCGCGUGUGUGAAGAAGGCCUUCGGGUUGUAAAGCACUUUUGUCCGGAAAGAAAUCUUCCAGUUUAAUACGCUGGGAGGAUGACGGUACCGGAAGAAUAAGCACCGGCUAACUUCGUGCCAGCAGCCGCGGUAAUAC
rnacentral:rRNA from 1 species